GAAUCUUGGGCAAUGGGGGAAACCCUGACCCAGCGACGCCGUGUGGGGGAUGAAGGCCUUCGGGUUGUAAACCCCUGUUUGGUGGGAUGAACAUCCUCUCGUAAAUAGCGAGUGGAUCUGACAGUACCACCAGCGGAAGCCCCGGCUGACUCCGUGCCAGCAGCCGCGGUAAUACGGAGGGGGCUAGUGGUGUUCGGAAUUACUGGGCGUAAAGGGCGCGCAGGCGGCUUGGCAAGUCGAGUGUGAAAUCCCUUGGCUUAACUGAGGAAAUGCGCUCGAAACUACCUCGCUAGAGGGCGGGAGAGGGAAGUGGAACUCUCGGUGUAGGGGUGAAAUCUGUAGAUAUCGAGAGGAACACCGGUGGCGAAGGCGGCUUCCUGGCCCGCACCUGACGCUGAGGCGCGAAAGCGUGGGGAGCAAACAGG
rnacentral:rRNA from 1 species